UCGCUCAGGUCUCUCCUCAGCAAGCACACGCAUUAACCUUUCGCCUUUUACUAAAGGCUACCGUGGGGAGGGACACUCCAAUGAGCCUAUAGGCCAAUUUAUGCAAGGCCCUACGUAGGCUGU
rnacentral:snRNA from 1 species